rnacentral:rRNA from 1 species
UUAGUGGAAGCGUCUGGAAAGGCGCGCGAUACAGGGUGACAGCCCCGUACACAAAAGCGCAUGUGCUGUGAGCUCGAUGAGUAGGGCGGGACACGUGGUAUCCUGUCUGAAUAUGGGGGGACCAUCCUCCAAGGCUAAAUACUCCUGACUGACCGAUAGUGAACCAGUACCGUGAGGGAAAGGCGAAAAGAACCCCGGCGAGGGGAGUGAAAAAGAACCUGAAACCGUGUACGUACAAGCAGUGGGAGCACAGGUUUACCUGUGUGACUGCGUACCUUUUGUAUAAUGGGUCAGCGACUUAUAUUCUGUAGCAAGGUUAACCGMAUAGGGGAGCCGGAGGGAAACCGAGUCUUAAUUGGGCGUUAAGUUGCAGGGUAUAGACCCGAAACCCGGUGAUCUAGCCAUGGGCAGGUUGAAGGUUGGGUAACACUAACUGGAGGACCGAACCGACUAAUGUUGAAAAAUUAGCGGAUGACCUGUGGCUGGGGGUGAAAGGCCAAUCAAACCGGGAGAUAGCUGGUUCUCCCCGAAAGCUAUUUAGGUAGCGCCUCGUGAAUUCAUCUCCGGGGGUAGAGCACUGUUUCGGCUAGGGGGCCAUCCCGGCUUACCAACCCGAUGCAAACUGCGAAUACCGGAGAAUGUUAUCACGGGAGACACACGGCGGGUGCUAACGUCCGUCGUGAAGAGGGAAACAACCCAGACCGCCAGCUAAGGUCCCAAAGUCAUGGUUAAGUGGGAAACGAUGUGGGAAGGCCCAGACAGCCAGGAUGUUGGCUUAGAAGCAGCCAUCAUUUAAAGAAAGCGUA